UGUCGAAUUUUAAUUGAUCAAGAGGGAAUCGGUCAACUUUGAUAAUAAGUUUAAUCCCUAUGUUGUCAUUUCUUAUAAUGACUAAAUUAGGACCUUCACCACGACAAUUGAAUGAAAGAAGAAAAGAGUUUCUUAUGUCAUUCAUUAGUAAGUUAUAAUUGACAUGAAACAUGGUUAGUUACCUAAUGAGAUUUGACAGUUAAGCCAUAUGCUAGGAUAAAAGCAAUUUGGUCCCUCAAAUUUGUCUCCCUCUCAUUCAAUCAAACAGCUGGGGAUAUUGGACUCUGAAGUCUGAUUCUAACUCCCAUGUGACCUCUCUCUGUGUGUGAUUCUGCCAUAGUACC
rnacentral:lncRNA from 1 species